ACCAUUUCGCCUGGAUACCCAGAGACCUCCCUCAGCCUGGCUGCCACGGCCUUGGGGAACAGUGGACCCAAGCCUCUGAAGGCUUGCUGGGAUCGGAAUGUGAAUCUGGAAGAUACGGUUGCAGCAGCCUGAGCUCGAGGGGUCAAGCCUGAAAAUGAACCAGCCUGAGGGAGUAGAGAUGGGAAAAGUGGCUCAGAAAGGCUGAGUACCUUGCAGCAUCACAUUACAAGCAGCAUGGACUCUUCUCUCCCAGAUGGAGCCUUCUACCCUAACCAAUAUCAUGGCCAUACACUCCUCCGGCAAAACCCAAGCUGUCCCCUACACACCAGGACCAAAGCCAUCUGAACUAAACAACACGAUCGUGCUUCGCCUGCUCAGAAGCCCCAGCCCUCAGUUUGCACAACUUCCAUGUGAACUGGUCCUGCCACCUGGGGUGCACUGGCUCCUGUACAGCAGGCAGAAUGAGAGGAUGAGACCCAGCUCACGGCUUCACGGCCACAGGGCCUUCUGUGGGCUAUUCAACCCCUCUGGACUUUGGUCCACUCCUCUGCAAGAUCAGGGUAACUACCUGUUUCGGGGGCUGUUGGGAGGAUUUAAGUUCAUUCGCAUCGAAGGCUUAGAACUCUGCCUGGCACAAAGCAUUCUAUCAGGGUGAGCGAUCAUGACUGGCACCCUCUGCUGUGUUCUUCUGGACUCAGCUUCCCUCUUCUGGGUAACCUUUCCUGACCCUGGCCCCUUCUUUCUCCCUGCUCCCCCUGACCCCAUGCUUGCGAAGCUGCUUUACCUACUGGCCUCCCAGCUGCCCAGUCCUCAAACGACAUACAUCCCAAUCACACACACUUAUUAGCAAUGCUGGCUCCAGGGCCCCAGUGUGCAUUGCAAACAGGCUCCCUGUGUGAUUCUUGGGGACACCCUCAGCUUCCAGCUUCAGAAGCACCGCUCUAAGCCAUCUACUCACCUUAGGACAAUGUCCCAUGACCCAGAUAUUCAAUAAUGAGGUGAGGUCGGGUAGGAGUGGGACGCUGCCCAAGGAGUGGCCAGAGGAUGACCCCCUGCCGUGCUAGGCAUGUGACAGUGACUGACUUGGGCAUGGCUGACAGCAGA